UACGUAGGGUGCAAGCGUUGUCCGGAAUUAUUGGGCGUAAAGAGCUCGUAGGCGGUUUGUCGCGUCUGCUGUGAAAACCCGAGGCUCAACCUCGGGCCUGCAGUGGGUACGGGCAGACUAGAGUGCGGUAGGGGAGAUUGGAAUUCCUGGUGUAGCGGUGGAAUGCGCAGAUAUCAGGAGGAACACCGGUGGCGAAGGCGGAUCUCUGGGCCUUACCUGACGCUGAGGCGCGAAAGCAUGGGGAGCGAACAGG
rnacentral:rRNA from 1 species